rnacentral:misc_RNA from 1 species
GUGAAUCAUCGAAUUUUUGAACGCAAAUUGCGCUUCCUAGCAUCCCGGGAAGUAUGCCUGUUUGAGGGUCAGUAUUUACAAAAAAAUCGGUUUGGUUGCAAAUUGUGACGUUUCUGGAGUUUGGGAGACCCUAACGUUUUUGGUUAAGGGGCUUAAAAUUGACCUUUUUUGCGUAUUUUUAGAUGUACAUAAUUUUUUUUUUAUUCGUUUAUUCUUAUUGUCAAAAUAUUAU